UUCGUCUGCUUGACUGCUUUCGUGGCUCGGUGGCUGCACGAAAAAUACAAAAUAAAAUUACAAAAUGUGGUCGUCGUGUAAAAACUCCUGUCGGCUCUCCAUGCUGUUUGGCAGUUCCUGACACGGAGGUUCCUGACUAGCAUUUAGAUCUGAGGCCUGAGCUGAUUCAGCUGUCAGGACAACACAAUAUAUGAAAGUUUUUCUUGCGCUGGUAUUGACUUGUCAUCAACAAACAAUCUCACUAUCAUUGCUAGGAUAAUCUCAUUUGUGUUACUUUUGUAUUCCUGCGACCUGCUAUGUUUGAAUGUAUUAUGCAGAAUAAUCAGACGGACAGAAGUCUGAUUCAGAAUAAUCAGACAAAUCAGACAAAUGAAUAAAUGCAAUGUAUUACAUGGAAGCAUUCACUCAUUCCAUUUAUUAGCAAUUAGGAG